AGGUGCAUGGCCGUCGUCAGUUCGUACUGUGAAGCCAUCCUGUUAAGUCAGGCAACGAGCGAGACCCACGCCAACAGUUGCCAGCUCGUCCUCCGGGAUGGUGGGGACACUGUUGGGACCGCUCUGCUAAAGAGGAGAGGAAUGGGCAACGGUAGGUCAGCAUGCCCCGAAUUAUCUGGGCUACACGCGGGCUACAAUGGGUGGGACAAUGGGUAUCGACACCGAAAGGUGAAGGCAAUCUCCUAAACCCAAUCCGUAGUUCGGAUUGUGGGCUGCAACUCGCCCACAUGAAGCUGGAAUCUGUAGUAAUCGUGUCUCAAAAUGGCACGGUGAAUAUGUCCCUGCUCCUU
rnacentral:rRNA from 1 species